rnacentral:rRNA from 1 species
UACGUAGGGGGCUAGCGUUGUCCGGAAUCAUUGGGCGUAAAGAGCGCGUAGGCGGCCAGAUAAGUCCGGUGUGAAAGUCACAGGCUCAACCUGUGAAUGCCGCUGGAAACUGUCUGGCUAGAGUCCGGGAGGGGCGAGUGGAAUUCCUGGUGUAGCGGUGAAAUGCGCAGAUAUCAGGAGGAACACCAGUGCGAAGGCAGGCUC